ACUCCUACGGGAGGCAGCAGUGGGAAGUAUUGCACAAUGGGCGCAAGCCUGAUGCAGCCAUGCCGCGUGUAUGAAGAAGGCCUUCGGGUUGUAAAGUACUUUCAGCAGUGAGGAAGGUGGGUAUGUUAAUAGCAUAUUCAUUUGACGUUAGCUGCAGAAGAAGCACCGGCUAACUCCGUGCCAGCAGCCGCGGUAAUACGGAGGGUGCGAGCGUUAAUCGGAAUUACUGGGCGUAAAGCGCAUGCAGGUGGUUUGUUAAGUCAGAUGUGAAAGCCCGGGGCUCAACCUCGGAAUUGCAUUUGAAACUGGCAAACUAGAGUAACUGUAGAGGGGGGUAGAAUUUCAGGUGUAGCGGUAGAAAUGACGUAGAGAUCUAGAAGGAAUACCGGUGGCGACGGCGGCCCCCUGGACAGAUACUGACACUCAGAUAGCGAAAGCGUAGGGGAGCAAACAGGAUUAGAUACCCUGGUAAGGCUCU
rnacentral:rRNA from 1 species